rnacentral:tRNA from 1 species
GCAGAGGUAGCCAAACGUCGGGGUAGAUAACUCCACUGACAAAGCCAGGCCAACUCCUUGAUCACAUAGGGUCACCGGACGGCUAUAGGCGAGGGACUUAAGAUCCCUUCUCGCAGGAGUUCGCGGGAUCGAAUCCCGCCCUCUGCA